GCAGACUUAGAAAUAACUAAAGAACUAGAAUUAGAGGUGGAGCCUGAAAAUGUGACUGAAUUGUUGCAAUCUCAUGAUAAAACUUUAACAGAUGAGGAGUUUCUUCUUAUAGAUGAACAAAGAAAGUGGUUGCUUGAGAUGGAAUCUACUCCUGGUGAAGAUUCUG